AUGCGUUGUGCUGCUCACAUAUUAAACCUGAUUGUGAAAGAUGGAAUGAGUGUCUUAGAGGAAGGUGUAGAGAGAGUACGUGAUAGUGUUGCAUUUUGGUCGGCAACACCUAAAAGGCAUGAAAAGUUUGAAAAGAUGGCAAAAACAUUGAACAUAGAGUAUAACAGAAGGUUAAAUCUUGACUGUAAGACUAGAUGGAAUUCAACUUACCUUAUGAUAAGCAUUGCUCUACAAUACAUAGAGAUAUUUGAAAAAUUGAAGGCACGUGAAAAGAAAUUUGAUUGCUGCCCAACCAAAGAUGAUUGGAAGUUUGCAAAGGAAAUGUGUGAUAGGUUGAAGCUCUUCUUUGAUAUCACUGAGUCAUUUUCAGGAACUAAGUAUGUAACAGCAAAUCUCUUUUUCCCUAAA
rnacentral:rRNA from 1 species